UACGAAGGGGGCUAGCGUUGCUCGGAAUCACUGGGCGUAAAGCGCACGUAGGCGGAUCUUUAAGUCAGGGGUGAAAUCCUGGAGCUCAACUCCAGAACUGCCUUUGAUACUGGGGAUCUCGAGUCCGGGAGAGGUGAGUGGAACUCCGAGUGUAGAGGUGAAAUUCGUAGAUAUUCGGAAGAACACCAGUGGCGAAGGCGGCUCACUGGCCCGGUACUGAUGCUGAGGUGCGAAAGCGUGGGGAGCAAACAGG
rnacentral:rRNA from 1 species